rnacentral:rRNA from 1 species
GGAGGAAAGCAGGGGAUCGCAAGACCUUGCGCUUUUGGAGCGGCCGAUGUCUGAUUAGCUAGUUGGUGAGGUAAAGGCUUACCAAGGCUUCGAUCAGUAGCUGGUCUGAGAGGACGACCAGCCACACUGGGACUGAGACACGGCCCAGACUCCUACGGGAGGCAGCGGUGGGGAAUUUUGGACAAUGGGCGCAAGCCUGAUCCAGCCAUUCCGCGUGAGUGAAGAAGGCCUUCGGGUUGUAAAGCUCUUUCAGCCGGAACGAAACGGUCACAGCUAAUACCUGUGACUACUGACGGUACCGGAAGAAGAAGCACCGGCUAACUACGUGCCAGCAGCCGCGGUAAUACGUAGGGUGCGAGCGUUAAUCGGAAUUACUGGGCGUAAAGCGUGCGCAGGCGGUUUUGUAAGUCAGAUGUGAAAUCCCCGGGCUUAACCUGGGAACUGCGUUUGAAACUACAAAGCUAG